GAGAAAAAUCUUAAAUAUAUUUAAAAUUUACUCUCUUAGCAACUUUCUAGUGUAUAAUACAGUAUUUACUGUGAUCGCCAGGCUGUACAUUAGAUCCCCAGACCUUAUUCAUGUUAUCAAAAAGGGCAGUUUGUACCCUUCUACUGACAUCUCAUUUCCUCAACCCCCAGCCCCUGGCCAUCACUGUGCUAGGGCGUCUGAAAGUUUCUGAGGCGUUCUAUGGAUAUGCCUGCUCCACUCUUCUUCCUCCUCCUUGUGGCAGAAUUCUUACCCUUGUGUGCCUUCUCUUGAUCCUGCAACACAUCAGGCAGGGUGCUGGCAUCCUCCCUUUUAUUUUCCCAGAGGUAGAGCUGACUUUCUAGUUUGCGGUGUCCCUGUGGACUGCAGAUUUGGCUGGCCUUCUGUGUGAGCUCACGACCGUCUGCCAGAGCUCAUUUUCGCGGCCAUCGGGGGUGCACACAGAGCGCCGGCCCUAGGUUGGGGUUGCGUGUGGGUGAGGCAGGUGGAGUACUGGGUGUGCCCCUGGACCAGGUGGGUGGAUCCUCAUCCCAGGUGGUCCCAGUGGCUCGUGGAGAGGCUCCUUGAUGGAGUCCAGAGUCCUUGCUCCUUUAAUACCUUCUGAGGUUUGAUCUGCUGUUUCACCAUGCUCUUCUUGUCCUCCCAUCGCACAGCUCAUGACUCUGUACUCUGCAGGGAGCGAGAGAAAUGGGCUUCUUUGGCGAUGUCCUGCACAGUGGGGGAAAUCGUUUGAUUUCCCCACUCACUCACUCACACAUUCUCAUUUUCCCCUGUGGGACAAAUCACGGGCCAGAAGGAUCUCUCUUGGCACUGAGCUGUGUCACCUUGGGGGAACCCUCUCCACUGCAUCCAGACUUGUAUUUUUUUCUGCUGUGACAGUGGGCUAGAACUUCUCUGCUGGAAACCUGAACUUCCACGAUGGAUCUGUCCUCUGUGAGAGAUUGUUCCUAAACGGUGUUCUCUAGGGGCUCCUGGGCUGCAGCCAACAGGGGCUGGAGCCAGUUUGUGGUCCACUGCAGAGUCAGCAGGCAGGGCCUAGGUUUGUCUGCCCAUUACCUAGCACACAGGUGGGCAGACUCUUUCCAUGCUAUGGUGUAUGGUGCUGGAUCCCACAGCUCCCACACAGGCACUUUUGUCCAUCAGUGGGCACCGAAUUAUUGCUCUUGGGGGAUAUGAAUGAAGGACAUCUUAUUCAGCCAUGUUGUUGGUAUCUUGCAGUUCUCUCUGUGGGUCCCUAGGCCAGGUUGCCUGAAGAUUCAGCUCUGAAUACAGCAGGUCUCAGGCUCAAAAUCACCGGCAGUGCCUUUGUAAUGACUUCUUAGGGCUCUGUAUUGAACUCAAACAAAUGAGGAUGGUGCUUUCUGGGUCCCUUCAUAUGUUUAUUUUUCCCUGGAGAAAUUAAUUCCCCAACACUCCACUCCCAAGUGUCUGUUGUUGAGAGUAGUACGAUGUAUCGAGGAGAAAGGAGACCUGAUUAGCAUUCUGAUUCGGUUACUAAGUGGAUAGAUAACCAUACAUCUUCUUGGGUCUCAGCUCUGUCAUCUGUAAAGUGGGGAUGAUAAGACAUUUUGUGUGUCAGUUAGGAUUCUUUGGCUAUAAGCAGCAGAUUCUGAAUGUAGCUAACUUGAGCUAGAAAGGACUUUGUUGGGAGGAUAUGGGUGGGGAAUUUAGAAAAACAAAGGAAAAACUGAAGAAACUUCGCUGAAAGAAUAGAAAUCAUGGCACCCUUGGGGACUUAGUCAGCAGAUUUCAGGCUGCCUUUGCUGAGAUGAAUGGACAGAACAGUUUGUUUUAAAUCAUUGUUAAACAGUUUGUUUAAAUCACUCUGCUCAUGAUAUACGUGUGUGGGAGGGUGAGUCAGGUUGGCCUCAUUUGGGCCAGGUGUCCACCUCCCGCCUGGAGGAGGGGGCUUGUUGACCUCUAGUCCCACCAAGAUGGUGUGUGGUAGGUGAGGGGAAAGCAACAGCUGCCUGCAGCGUUUCCUUAUCUGUUACUGAGUGUCUGUGGCAAGGGGCAGAGCCAGAAGGUGAAUCCAGACCUUCUGACCCCACCCUCUGGCUCCUUCCAUCUGCUUUCAGUGGCCACUCCAGAUGGAAGCUGACAGUGUGGGGGUCCAGUGAUCAGAGCUGGGGGCAGCAUAGGGGCUGAGACUCAGCAUCCCAACAGACCAGAAAAAGGAGCUGGCCUGAGAACACCCAGAACCCUGGUUGCUUCCUGGUCUGUUGACCUUGGAGGGACUUGGAUGACCUCUGUCUGAGCCAGGCUGGGUGGGGCCUGGCUGCUGUGUGCAGCUAAGGGGAUCUAGUUGUGUUGGGGUGCGGUGGUGGGGGUGCAUAACCUCAGGGUGCCCCCCCAGCUCAGCACUUGGAUCGGCACUGCUCAACUUUGUCUAUGCAUGAGUGCCACCCAAGGAGCUUUUAAGUCCCUCAUGCCUUGGCUACAUAUCAGAACCUGAGUAUCUGGUGGAGGUCGAUGUUUAAAGGCUCCCAGGUGAUUCUUUGGUGCAACUGGGGCUGGGAGUUCUGUUUCUGGGCUGCAGUCAUGCAGCUGUGAAUGUUGGCUGAGAAUCUCCUGUUGCUCAGGAUUUGCUGUCUGGGUGGCUGACAGAGUCCCUGCAUCUUAACUUGAUCUGUGGUGCACGGGCGUAGCGUGGAGAAAUCUCAGAUGUGGGGAGCUGGCUGGAGGCAGAACGCAGGCCUCCUUGGCCCUGUUCCCAAAUCUCUGAGGACCUCUUUUUAACUCUCUGAAACCCUAGUCUUUGGCUUUGGAAUUAAGAGCCAGUACCACCCAUCUGAAUGCAGGGAGUAAAGGGGAAAACUGUAGGAUGAAAAUAAAAACCCACGUCUCCAAGAGCUGUUCUGACACAUGAGAUUCUAGAUAGAGGUUAAAGGGACCAGAAUGUCUUCAUCUAUCAAUGUGGGCCAGUCUUGACCUGUGACAACCUUGGCGUCCUAGGUUCGGAAACCAGUUGGGAGCAGUUACAGGCCACCCCUGCUCCCCCUUCUCAGUCAAGCCUCCAGACUUGGAACCCUUUGUGCCGUGAAAAUGCACCAAGAUCUAAUUGCAGCGCCAGCCCCAGGAUUCCAGUCCUCCACUUGACAUGAAGCACCUCUCAGGGCUCCAUUUUUCUCUUAUUUUGGCCAUAAGACAGUUAAGCAGCGGGUUCUCCGGAGCCAUUAAAUACGGCAGAAUGUCGGGAUCAAUGGAAAGCUCUUCUGUCCUUUCAUCCACGCGGAGGCAGAGCGGAGGUCAGGUGUUGUGUUCUCAAAGGGCUCCCUCAGCCCUGCCACCCAACGGCUGGGAGGCGGCACGGGCUGCGUGACAUCCUGUCACCCCGAAACAGCUCAUUCUGUUCCCUGAUGAGAUACUCAGGGCAGAUGAAACGGCAUCGACCUGCUUGUAAUGGUAAACACCACCCCAGCUGCCUUCAUAACUGCGACUGCCUCCAAGAUGCAAAGAAAAGGGACAAAUAUUUACUUUCUGGUUUGGAGGAAGCACGCCCAUUUCCUAAAAGCUCAUUUUAACCUCGGACCCUGAAAAGCAAAGCGUUUGUGUGGUGCCUGGCUGCCCCUCCCAGCCAGACUUCAGUGCAAGAUGUCUUAAAGCCGGCUUCUCCGGCUGGGGUCCUUCCGCAGGGUAGGGGGCGUUGUGGAGUUAAUGCUUCUCAAAAAAUGAACAAGUAUUUUGGUGGAAAUAAUAAAUAUGACUGCAAGUGGGUGCAGCAGUGGGAGGGGAAGGGGGCCAGGGUACUAACGAGAGGUGGGAGGAGGCCUGGGUGCCCCGGCCUCCUUACCCAGGCAGACCUCAGUUUAUUGCCUCAUUUUAAUGUGCUUUGAAGAUAGGGCGGGGUUUUUUUUCUUACAAAUUGAAAGUUUGUGGCAACCCUGCGUAGAGCAGGUCUGUCAGCACCAUUUUCCCAAAGUGUUUGUUCACUUCACUGUCACGUUUUGGAAAUUCUUGCAAUUUUCAAACUUUUUCAUUGUUAUUAAUAUUUGCCGUGGUGAUCUGUUGGUCAGUGAUCUUUGUGUGGCUAUUCAAAAAAAAUGAUGACUCGCUGAAGGUUCAGAUGAUGGUUAGC